rnacentral:rRNA from 1 species
ACUCCUACGGAGAGCAGAGGUGGAAUAUUGCACAAUGGGCGCAAGCCUGAUGCAGCCAUGCCGCGUGUGUGAAGAAGGCCUUCGGGUUGUAAAGCACUUUCAGUCGUGAGGAAGGUAGUGUAGUUAAUAGCUGCAUUAUUUGACGUUAGCGACAGAAGAAGCACCGGCUAACUCCGUGCCAGCAGCCGCGGUAAUACGGAGGGUGCGAGCGUUAAUCGGAAUUACUGGGCGUAAAGCGCAUGCAGGUGGUUUGUUAAGUCAGAUGUGAAAGCCCGGGGCUCAACCUCGGAAUUGCAUUUGAAACUGGCAGACUAGAGUACUGUAGAGGGGGGUAGAAUUUCAGGUGUAGCGGUGAAAUGCGUAGAGAUCUGAAGGAAUACCGGUGGCGAAGGCGGCCCCCUGGACAGAUACUGACACUCAGAUGCGAAAGCGUGGGGAGCAAACAGGAUUAGAUACCCUGGUAGCUACGAGU